ACGUUAUCACGAAAGGCAGAGGGAUUAGACCCGUUGAAGCCUUAGCAACCCUUUUCUUUAAUUAGAAAAAGAAGGUGCUACAUUCUACAAGUUUUACCAAACUUGACAGAUAACAG
rnacentral:ncRNA from 2 species